rnacentral:rRNA from 1 species
UUUCGCAAUGCCCGAAAGGGUGACGAAGCGACGCCGCGUGUGGGAAGAAGGCCUUCGGGUUGUAAACCACUGUCGGGAGUUAGGAAAUGCAGGUGCGUUAAUAGCGCACUUGCUUGACUAAGGCUCCAGAGGAAGCCACGGCUAACUCUGUGCCAGCAGCCGCGGUAAUACAGAGGCGGCAAGCGUUGUUCGGAAUUAUUGGGCGUAAAGAGCACGUAGGCGGCCUUGCAAGUCAGUUGUGAAAGCCUUCCGCUUAACGGAAGAACGGCAUCUGAUACUACAGGGCUUGAGUACGGGAGGGGAGAGUGGAACUUCUGGUGGAGCGGUGAAAUGCGUAGAUAUCAGAAGGAACGCCGGCGGCGAAAGCGGCUCUCUGGCCCAUAACUGACGCUGAGGUGCGAAAGCCAGGGGAGCAAACGGGAUUAGAUACCCCGGUAGUCCUGGCCGUAAACGAUGGGCACUAAGUAGAGGGGUUUU